rnacentral:rRNA from 1 species
UACUGCUAUCAGUGUUCGAUUAAGCCAUGCGAGUUAAAUGUUCUUCGUGAACAUGGCGUACUGCUCAGUAACACGUGGAUAACCUGCCCUAAGGUCCGGCAUAACCCCGGGAAACUGGGGAUAAUACCGGAUAAACCAUAGAUACUGGAAUGUUCUGUGGUUNAAAGUUCCGGCGCCUUAGGAUGGAUCUGCGGCCUAUCAGGUAGUAGUGGGUGUAAAGUACCUACUAGCCGACGACGGGUACGGGUUGUGAGAGCAAGAGCCCGGAGAUGGAUUCUGAGACAUGAAUCCAGGCCCUACGGGGCGCAGCAGGCGCGAAAUCUUUACAAUGCGGGAAACCGCGAUAAGGGGACACUGAGUGCCAGCAUAUUAUGUUGGCUGUCCACCUGUAUAAAUCACAGGUGUUAGCAAGGGCCGGGCAAGACCGGUGCCAGCCGCCGCGGUAACACCGGCGGCCCGAGUGGUAGCCACUAUUAUUGGGUCUAAAGGGUCCGUAGCCGGUUUGAUCAGUCUUCCGGGAAAUCUGACAGCUCAACUGUUAGGCUUCCGGGGGAUACUGUCA